UUCCGCUCGUCCGUGGUGGUGGCUGUGGCGUGGUGAAGUCGCGUGGCGUGCUGGCACCAGAGCGUCUUCAGCGUUUUGCCAUAACGCAAGCUCUGUCCUUCAGCGCAGUGCGGCGUGCCCAGCAUCGGAGCGUCUUUGGCGUGUCGCCAGAACGACGCGCGCUCUCCUUUGGCGUACGGUGUGGCGGACUGCUGGAGUCACGGGGCGGGGCUGAGCUGCCCUGCUGGGGGCCUGUCGGCGUUGUGGCGCGGUCUCCACGUGACCUCUCGGCGCUCCGUAAUAUCCUGCUGGUGAGGCCCAGAAACUAUUAAAGCCACCAUCUCCUGGACCCACUGCUGUUUUGGCUUACUGGAGCUGUUUUGGCUGAUUUGGCCGUGUUUGGUUCACUCUGACUGUUUUGGCUCACUGAAGCCGUUUUGACUCCUCCGCUCUUCUGAGCUGUGGUGAAGCAAUGUACUAAGGCUCUUCACAGAGCUGGUGUCGGGGCCUAUUGCUACUCUAAGGAUUUUGUUAGUUUAUUAAUCAUUCUUGAAAAGAUUUAUUUUGUAUUCAUUGUUUAAUUUGUUGAUGAACAUUAUUUACUGUUGUUUUAGGAACAUCAUUUACCUUUAUUUGAUGGUCUGUUUCGUUGUUUUUCUUAAUUACUUAAAGUAUAGUGUGUGCGUGUGUUUGUGUGUAUGUAUGUGUGUUAAGUAGCAAUUAAGGGCCAUAUUAACUGGGAGGCCAAUUUUAUAACUUGCUUUCUUAUUUUUGUGGACAGGUGCGGAGGGCCAGGCGGCGACCCAAUCCCUGGUGGUGGGAUUUUCUUCACGAACCCCUUGCGAGUGUGUGUUUGCAGUGUCAUGGGUGUUUUUGGUUAGUUAUCCCCCUCCCCUUGAUCUGAUUUUGGGCCGCCGUAGCCUCCACAGUCCUGUUCAUUCCGCUCUGCGGCCCCAGUACGCAAUUACGAGCCAGUACUGUUCAAGUGAUAUUUUAAUCGAUUGUAAAAUAAACUAUUUUCUACUUAGCCAAAUACGUCUCUGCCUGUGGUAUACGGACCUGUGUAGACCUAUAGUAACUCUAACCAUCUCAUAUAAACUAUCUCCUGGGGCGAAACUCCCCAGGUGGCGUUGUCGGUGAUCCUUUUCCACCCCUCCACUUGCCACAUAUGGUAAAAGUAUAGUAAAAGUAUUGUUUAAAAGACCUGAUAUGGUGAAUCAUAAACUGUGUGGUAAAUAUGUUAUGUUUCUGAAUAUGGGGCUGUAUUAAAUCCUGUGCAGUCUGUCUAUCAGUUAAUACACUGAUCAUAUUGAAGCAAUAAUACAGAAAUGAUCAGGCCUCAUUCAACAAUGAUUCAACAGGAUUUAGCCAGCCCAAAAUGUUUGUGAUGACUGGAUUUUUCAUUUAUGCUAUCUUAUUUCGUAGACGAGAAACAUUUGGUCCAUCUUGUGAAGCUCCAUACGACUCUGUCAGAGGAUGCAGUGUGAGAAGCAGCAACACCAGAGGACUGCCUACUUCCUUGAUGCAUGUGACAGUUUAAUUAUGAAAUAAUAAUAAAUAAAUAUGAAAUAGUAUAAAAUAUA